rnacentral:tmRNA from 2 species
ACUCAUUGGACCCGGGGGCGGUACCCGGCGCCUCCACCAAAAUAUAAUCAACAAGCUUAUACUUUGGUGGGGGCGAAAUAGGAUCGACAAGGGUGUAAAGAUUGCUCUUUUACUCGGCAUUGUACCACCGUCAUCGGACUAAAUUAGUAGUUGCAAACGACAACUAUGCGGAAGCACGUCUCGCUGCUUAAGCAGUGCGAAGGCUUCAAAUUAAGCCUUAAACCGUCGCAGGUUUAAGCGGGGUUCGGAGG